rnacentral:rRNA from 1 species
UUUCCUUGCCGGCGACCGGCGCACGGGUGAGUAACACGUAUGCAACCUGCCCCUGUCAGGGGGACAACCCGCCGAAAGGCGGGCUAAACCCGCGUACAUGCCACCGGGGCAUCCCGGAGGCAGGAAAGGCUUCGGCCGGACAGGGAUGGGCAUGCGGCGCAUUAGGCAGUAGGCGGGGUAACGGCCCACCUAACCGACGAUGCGUAGGGGUUCUGAGAGGAAGGUCCCCCACACUGGUACUGAGACACGGACCAGACUCCUACGGGAGGCAGCAG